rnacentral:rRNA from 1 species
AGAGUUGAUCCUGGCUCAGGAUGAACGCUAGCUACAGGCUUAACACAUGCAAGUCGAGGGGCAUCAUGGAGUUGCUUGCAAACUCUGAUGGCGACCGGCGCACGGGUGAGUAACGCGUAUCCAACCUUCCCUAUAGUAGAGGAUAGCCCGGCGAAAGUCGGAUUAAUACUCUAUGUUUUCCGUUGCAGACAUCUAAGAUGGAACAAAGGCUUGCCGCUAUAGGAUGGGGAUGCGUCUGAUUAGGUAGUCGGCGGGGUAACGGCCCACCGAGCCUUCGAUCAGUAGGGGUUCUGAGAGGAAGGUCCCCCACAUUGGAACUGAGACACGGUCCAAACUCCUACGGGAGGCAGCAGUGAGGAAUAUUGGACAAUGGGGGCAACCCUGAUCCAGCGAAUGCCGCGUGAGUGAAGAAGGUCUUAGGAUUGUAAAGCUCUUUUGACAGGGAAGAUGAUGACGGUACCUGUAGAAUAAGCACCGGCUAACUCUGUGCCAGCCGCGGC